CUGUAAUAUGAUCAUAUUCAUUUUUCUUUUCUUUUCAUAACCGACUAGCUGAUUUGAAACAGAAACUGAAAGUUUCAGUGGCUGUUAUUUCAGCCAGGCAUCAGCUCUCCAAGAGACCUGAAAGUAAAUAGGAGUGACAGACUUUAUAACUCCCUUACUGCUAUCUUUGCAUGACAGAAGAGGAACUUAACUGAAUAUGAGCUCAGAUGAGAAGAAAAAAUCCUGCAUAUUGGGCAAGAAACUAAAUAGCAGACAAACAUUUGAAAAAUACCACUUACAGCAGAAGCCAAACAGAAGGGUGGCAGCAGAAGUUGAGACACAAGAGGGUGGAAGAAACAUUUUGCUUUUCCCAGACCACGAGAAUUGAUGAAAUAUUAAUUCAGUGCCUGACUUCCCUACUUGACUGAAGUGUAUAUCAGUUCACUGCAGUUAGAGAGGUAUGGCAGCUUCAAACUAUAAUUCUUUCCUGGUACCCUCAGGAGCAGAGUGUGUUUUUCAAUGUCCAUUAGAAAGGUGAGUGCUUAAAUCUAUACCUCAUUUCUCUUUUAUCCCCUAAAUCUUUGAACACAACUGUGUGAUUAUGCCUUUCAC
rnacentral:lncRNA from 1 species